UACGUAGGGGGCAAGCGUUGUCCGGAUUUAUUGGGCGUAAAGAGCUCGUAGGUGGUUUGGUAAGUCGGAUGUGAAAUCUCCAGGCUCAACCUGGAGGGGUCAUUCGAUACUGCCAUGACUAGAGGUCGGUAGGGGAGUGUGGAAUUCCCGGUGUAGCGGUGAAAUGCGCAGAUAUCGGGAGGAACACCAGCGGCGAAGGCGGCACUCUGGGCUGGAACUGACGCUGAGGAGCGAAAGCGUGGGUAGCAAACAGG
rnacentral:rRNA from 1 species